GAUGAACGCUGGCGGCGUGCCUAAUACAUGCAAGUCGAGCGAACAGACGAGGAGCUUGCUCCUCUGACGUUAGCGGCGGACGGGUGAGUAACACGUGGAUAACCUACCUAUAAGACUGGGAUAACUUCGGGAAACCGGAGCUAAUACCGUAUAAUAUAUUGAACCGCAUGGUUCAAUAGUGAAAGACGGUUUUGCUGUCACUUAUAGAUGGAUCCGCGCCGCAUUGGCUAGUUGGUAAGGUAACGGCUUACCAAGGCAACGAGGCGUAGCCGACCUGAGAGGCUGAUCGGCCACACUGGAACUGAGACACGGUCCAGACUACUACGGGAGGCAGCAGUAGGGAAUCUUCCGCAAUAGGCGAGAGCCUGACGCAGCAACGCCGCGUGAGUGAUGAAGGUCUUCGGAUCGUAAAACUCUGUUAUUAGGGAAGAACAAAUGUGUAAGUAACUAUGCACGUCUUGACGGUACCUAAUCAGAAAGCCACGGCUAACUACGUG
rnacentral:rRNA from 1 species